AAACUUGAACUCAACCUCUCCCAAGCCUCGAGUCUUCCUUUGUGACCCUUAGACCAUCCCAUUAUGUGGUUCUCUUGAGUGUUGAAGUGGUCCACCAAAGGAUUUUUAGGACUGUACCUUAGGUACUACCUUAAGGGCCUUUAGGUACUACCUUAAUGGCCUUUAGGUACUACCUUAGCUAAACUUGAACUCAACCUCUCCCAAGCCUUGAGUCUUCCUUUGUGACCCUUAGAGCAUCCCAUUAUGUGGUUUUCUUGAGUGUUGAAGUGGUCCACCAAAGGUUUUUUGGGACUGUACCUUAGGUACUACCUUAGCUAAACUUGAACUCAACCUCUCCCAAGCCUCGAGUCUUCCUUUGUGACCCUUAGAGCAUUCCAUUAUGUGGUUUUCUUGAGUGUUGAAGUGGUCCACCAAAGGUUUUUUGGGACUGUACCUUAGGUACUACCUUAAGGGACUCUAGGUACUACCUUAGCUAAACUUGAACUCAACCUCUCCCAAGCCUUGGGUCUUCCUUUGUGACCCUUAGAGCAUCCCAUUAUGUGGUUCUCUUCAAUGUUGAAGUGAUCCACCAUUGAUUUUUUUGGACUGUACCUUAGGUACUACCUUAAGGGACCCUAGGUACUACCUUAAGGUAAACUUGAACUCAACCUCUCCCAAGCCUCGGGUCUUCCUUGGUGACCCUUAUAGCAUCCCAUUAUGUGGUUCUCUUCAGUGUUGAAGUGGUCCACCAUUGGUUUUUUGGGAUUGUAACUUAGGUACUACCUUAAGAGCCUUAGGUACUACCUUAAUGGCCCUUAGGUACUACCUUAAGGGACCUUAGGUACUACCUUAACUAAACUUGAAUUCUACCUCUCCUAAGCCUCGAGCCUUCCUUUGUGACCCUUAUACCAUGCCAUUAUGUGCUUCUCU